ACGGAACGAUUUAUUAAAACAUGGGCUGGUACGUCUGUGUGUCCGCUCGGUACUUAAUGGAGAAAACACUAGCCUACGUCAAUCUACUAUCCCCCGUAGUACAAAAGUUGACCUAUUAUAUUCUGCGUGAGAAAUAAAUAUUCCAAACAUAGUCUGGGACAGUUGUGGGAUGCGAUAGAUCCCCAAAUGAAUACAACCACUAGUAGUGGUAGUGACUGGUUAUAGUAGUGGUAGUGAGUGACUGGUUAUAGUAGUGGUAGUGAGUGACUGGUUAUAGUAGUGGUAGUGACUGGUUAUAGUAGUGGUAGUGACUGGUUAUAGUCAGUGGUAGUGACUGGUUAUAGUUAUAGUAGUGGUAGUGACUGGUUAUAGUAGUGACUGGUUAUAGUAGUGGUAGUGACUGGUUAUAGUAGUGGUAGUGAUGUUGUGUCUGUGUCCAAACAUUAUGCUUUAUAUUCAGGACAAAGUUAAUAGCCACAGCCACAACAUGGAUAAUCCUGAAUGAAUCGUGAAUAAUGACUGAGAAAGUUAGAGGGUCAAAGUUCAUACCUCCAAGACAUGCUAACCUCCCCUGUUAUUGGUAAUGGUGAGAGGUUAGAUCAUACCUCCAAGACAUGCUAACCUCCCCUGUUAUUGGUAAUGGUGAGAGGUUAGAUCAUACCUCCAAGACAUGCUAACCUCCCCUGUUAUUGGUAAUGGUGAGAGGUUAGAUCAUACCUCCAAGACAUGCUAACCUCCCCUGUUAUUGGUAAUGGUGAGAGGUUAGAUCAUACCUCCAAGACAUGCUAACCUCCCCUGUUAUUGGUAAUGGUGAGAGGUUAGAUCAUACCUCCAAGACAUGCUAACCUCCCCUGUUAUUGGUAAUGGUGAGAGGUUAGAUCAUACCUCCAAGACAUGCUAACCUCCCCUGUUAUUGGUAAUGGUGAGAGGUUAGAUCAUACCUCCAAGACAUGCUAACCUCCCCUGUUAUUGGUAAUGGUGAGAGGUUAGAUCAUACCUCCAAGACAUGCUAACCUCCCCUGUUAUUGGUAAUGGUGAGAGGUUAGUUCAUCAUAAAUCACCUGUACAGCAGGUUUGAAACCUAGGACGGCUCUUAACAGAGUAAUACAAACUUCGGUAAACACUUAAAAAGUCUGUGGAUAUAAAGCAUUUUUACACGUUAUACGCAUAGACACACUUGCCAUAAUUACAAUUCACAACACAAUCGCAGGUUAAUAAUAUAUAUUAAUUCCCAGACAAAAAUAAAUGGAUUUGAUCCCGUUCAGACAGGGACCUUGUACUGUGGGGAAAUACCAGGUCAUCAUCACUACAGCACCACACUACAGCACCACACUACACUACAGCACCACAAUACAGCACCACUACACUACAGCACCACCACACUACAGCACCACCACACUACAGCACCA